GUUGAGUUGAUCUUGAUAUAGGUCAGCGUUGGAGGGGAAACCACUUCACUGACAUAAAUAGAUGGUUUCCCAAGGACAAGAUUAGCGUCCUAAAAUAAGCAUUGAUCAGACCAUAACAUAAACUUUUAAUUAUUUGCAACAUUACCUUGUGUGUUGAGCAUAUCAGGAUAAUUGUAAAAAUAUUCCUUCGGGUAUUCUUGUCACUAACCUUUCCAGGAUUGGAGC
rnacentral:lncRNA from 1 species